ACCUGGCUGGCUCAGUCGGUAGAGCACGUGACUCUUAAUCUUAGAGUUGUGGGUUCAAGCCUCACGUUGUGUG
rnacentral:tRNA from 1 species